AGCGAACGCUGGCGGCAGGCUUAACACAUGCAAGUCGAACGCUCGCAGCAAUGCGGGAGUGGCAGACGGGUGAGUAACGCGUGGGAACGUGCCCUUUGGUUCGGAAUAACCCAGGGAAACUUGGGCUAAUACCGGAUAAGCCCCGUGAGGGGGAAAGAUUUAUCGCCGAAGGAUCGGCCCGCGUCCGAUUAGCUAGUUGGUGAGGUAAUGGCUCACCAAGGCGACGAUCGGUAGCUGGUCUGAGAGGAUGAUCAGCCACACUGGGACUGAGACACGGCCCAGACUCCUACGGGAGGCAGCAGUGGGGAAUAUUGGACAAUGGGGGCAACCCUGAUCCAGCCAUGCCGCGUGAGUGAUGAAGGCCCUAGGGUUGUAAAGCUCUUUCGACGGGGACGAUAAUGACGGUACCCGUAGAAGAAGCCCCGGCUAACUUCGUGCCAGCCGCCGCAGUAACAC
rnacentral:rRNA from 1 species